GACGAACGCUGGCGGCGUGCCUAACACAUGCAAGUCGAACGGGGCAGUUCCUUCGGGGAUUGCUUAGUGGCGAACGGGUGAGUAACGCGUGAGAAACCUGCCUUUCAGUGGGGGACAACAGUUGGAAACGACUGCUAAUACCGCAUAAUGUUAUUUGGGGGCAUCCCUAAAUAACCAAAGCUUAAUGUGCUGAAAGAUGGUCUCGCGUCUGAUUAGCUAGAUGGCGGGGUAACGGCCCACCAUGGCGACGAUCAGUAGCCGGUCUGAGAGGAUGAACGGCCACAUUGGGACUGAGAUACGGCCCAGACUCCUACGGGAGGCAGCAGUGGGGAAUAUUGGGCAAUGGGGGAAACCCUGACCCAGCAACGCCGCGUGAAGGAAGAAGGCCUUUGGGUUGUAAACUUCUUUUACCAGGGACGAACACAAUGACGGUACCUGGAGAAAAAGCAACGGCUAACUACGUGCCAGCCGCCGCGGUAAUAC
rnacentral:rRNA from 1 species